GGACAGGGACAGGAGGGGACAGGGACAGGGUGACACUGUGAUGGGGACACGGUGAUGGUGGCAGGAGGUGGCAGGAGGUGACAGGAGGUGACAGGAGGUGACACGAGGUGACAGGAGGUGACAGGAGGUGACAGGAGAUGUCCCCGCGCUACAGCCGCUCCUCCGAGUGUCCCCAACCUGCGGAGGGGACACGGUGAGGGGACAGCGGGGACACGGGGGGGACAUGGGGACCCCUGCCCGUGUCCCCUCUGUCCCCAAUGUCCCCAAUGUCCCCAAUG